GAUGAACGCUGGCGGCGUGCCUAAUACAUGCAAGUCGAGCGAACGGACGAGAAGCUUGCUUCUCUGAUGUUAGCGGCGGACGGGUGAGUAACACGUGGAUAACCUACCUAUAAGACUGGGAUAACUUCGGGAAACCGGAGCUAAUACCGGAUAAUAUUUUGAACCGCAUGGUUCAAAAGUGAAAGACGGCCUUGCUGUCACUUAUAGAUGGAUCCGCGCUGCAUUAGCUAGUUGGUAAGGUAACGGCUUACCAAGGCAACGAUGCAUAGCCGACCUGAGAGGGUGAUCGGCCACACUGGAACUGAGACACGGUCCAGACUCCUACGGGAGGCAGCAGUAGGGAAUCUUCCGCAAUGGGCGAAAGCCUGACGGAGCAACGCCGCGUGAGUGAUGAAGGUCUUCGGAUCGUAAAACUCUGUUAUUAGGGAAGAACAUAUGUGUAAGUAACUGUGCACAUCUUGACGGUACCUAAUCAGAAAGCCACGGCUAACUACGUGCCAGCAGCCGCGGUAAUACGUAGGUGGCAAGCGUUAUCCGGAAUUAUUGGGCGUAAAGCGCGCGUAGGCGGUUUUUUAAGUCUGAUGUGAAAGCCCACGGCUCAACCGUGGAGGGUCAUUGGAAACUGGAAAACUUGAGUGCAGAAGAGGAAAGUGGAAUUCCAUGUGUAGCGGUGAAAUGCGCAGAGAUAUGGAGGAACACCAGUGGCGAAGGCGACUUUCUGGUCUGUAACUGACGCUGAUGUGCGAAAGCGUGGGGAUCAAACAGGAUUAGAUACCCUGGUAGUCCACGCCGUAAACGAUGAGUGCUAAGUGUUAGGGGGUUUCCGCCCCUUAGUGCUGCAGCUAACGCAUUAAGCACUCCGCCUGGGGAGUACGACCGCAAGGUUGAAACUCAAAGGAAUUGACGAGGACCCGCACAAGCGGUGGAGCAUGUGGUUUAAUUCGAAGCAACGCGAAGAACCUUACCAAAUCUUGACAUCCUUUGACAACUCUAGAGAUAGAGCCUUCCCCUUCGGGGGACAAAGUGACAGGUGGUGCAUGGUUGUCGUCAGCUCGUGUCGUGAGAUGUUGGGUUAAGUCCCGCAACGAGCGCAACCCUUAAGCUUAGUUGCCAUCAUUAAGUUGGGCACUCUAAGUUGACUGCCGGUGACAAACCGGAGGAAGGUGGGGAUGACGUCAAAUCAUCAUGCCCCUUAUGAUUUGGGCUACACACGUGCUACAAUGGACAAUACAAAGGGCAGCGAAACCGCGAGGUCAAGCAAAUCCCAUAAAGUUGUUCUCAGUUCGGAUUGUAGUCUGCAACUCGACUACAUGAAGCUGGAAUCGCUAGUAAUCGUAGAUCAGCAUGCUACGGUGAAUACGUUCCCGGGUCU
rnacentral:rRNA from 1 species